rnacentral:rRNA from 1 species
AUAAACGCUGGCGGCGUGCCUUAUGCAUGCAAGUCGAACGGGCCUUCCGCCUUCGGGUGGAAGGCUAGUGGCGAACGGGUGAGUAACACGUAUGUAACCUGUCCGGAAGUGGGGAAUAACCCUCCGAAAGGAGAGCUAAUUCCGCAUGUGGUCGCCGGUGAGAGACCGGUGGACAAAAGCUUUACGCGCUUCCGGAGGGGCGUGCGGCCGAUUAGCUUGUUGGUGGGGUAACGGCUCACCAAGGCGACGAUCGGUAGCUGGUCUGAGAGGACGGCCAGUCACACGGGGACUGAGACACGGCCCCGACUCCUACGGGAGGCAGCAGCAAGGAAUUUUGCGCAAUGGGCGAAAGCCUGACGCAGCAACGCCGCGUGAGGGAUGAAGGCUCUCGGGUCGUAAACCUCUUUUGCAGGGGAAGUAACUGACGGUACCCUGCGAAUAAGCCACGGCUAACUACGU